GGAAGAUGCUGGGCCCAGGGCCUUGGCUUGGAGCGAGCUGGUGAGCUGCAGUAGGACCUGGCUCUUUCACUGAGGGGUUUAGGAAUGGGGGCUGCCUGACAGGCUGUGCCUGGGGUUCUCCAAGGGCAGAGGCGGCAGAGUGAGCAACAUCAGGACACAGGAAUUAGGGCAGCCCUGUACGUCGGCAUACUUGCAAUAACUUGUGGAUGCACCUGCCCCAGGGAUGAGGAACAUGGCUUGGAUGUGGUGGACCACAUCGCAACCAGCCAGCUGCAACAAUAUUGAAGCUCCGAAGGCUCCGGGAAUUGAGUGCAUCAGGGAGCUGUCCCUUGGGGGAGUUCACUUCUGACCAAGUCCAGACUCCCAAUGUCACAGGAAUCUUAGAGCCGAAGGAGAAGAUAAGCAAGGAGCAUUGGUUAGACCAGUCAGUACCAGAGUGCUUGUCCCAGGAAACCGUGGAUGGAGUCAGGAGAGGCAGAGCACAGGCAGGCUGUCAGCAGAGGAUCCGCUGUCUCUCAUCAAUAAUGAAGUGCUCCCAGGCCCUCAACUGAAGCCUCCUGCAUAAUUCACCUCGAAAACCUCAAACAAAGGAGCCCAGGGCCCAGUCUCCUACCCCGUGUCCUUCCCAAAUAUCCAAGGAGAGGGGAGGGGUGGGGCAGGGCGGGGAGGGGAGGGCAGGGGACAUAAAAGCUGAUUGAUGGGC
rnacentral:lncRNA from 1 species